UUUAAAGGCCGACUUAGGUUAAAUGCCGUUAGAAAACGUCCAGGUCCGAAAAAAGGACAGAUUGUAAGUAUAUAUGUAAUUACAAUGUUUUUUGUUUUCAUAAUUAUAAUUUUUAAUGUCCGUUAAAUUACCAUUGCUCUUUGGUAAGAUACCAUUGCUCUUUUAUAUCUAUAUUAUUAUAUAUUCUAAUUAUUUUUUAGAAGACUAUAGCAGUUGAUGCUAGUGAAGAAACAAUAACAGCAUUUCUUGGUAAAGAAAAUGAAAGUAUUGUACGAAAUACCCCUAAAACAGUUCAGAAUCAAAAUGAGGAAAAACCUGUUAAAUUAGAGGGAAGAAGAUUAGUGGAUAUUCAAUAUUUCUUGGAUUGUGUGAAAAAUCUAAACAACCACGAGCCAAAGUUUGGGUGCACCUUAAGCAACAUGAAUGUCAUAAAAGAAGUUAGAAAUGGAUAUGUGUCAAUAUUUAAGGUCAAGUGUGAUAUGUGUAGAGGAACAUACGAUCUGCAAACGACAGCCACAAACCCGAAUCAAGAUGCUGUUCUGGGGGUGAUAAUGAUAGGGGCAGGUUACAGUGCUCUAGCGCAGCUUUCAACAUGCUUAGAAACUCCUUUUUCCAUCUCAACGGACAUAUCUAAUUCAGGAAGAUAUUCUUGGAGAAACUUUUGAAACAAUUUCUUUGAAAUCGAGCUGGUGAGAUGGAAAAGAAUUUAGCUAUAGAAGCAGGUGAUCUCUCACCUGAUGGGGUUCCUAUAAUUACUGUCGUAGCGGAUGGGUCUUGAGCCAAAAGAUCAUAUAGAUCCAAUUACAAUUCUCUUUCAGGAGCUGCAGCAAUUAUAGGCUGUAGAACUAAACAGGUAAAAAUUGAAUUAGCGGUUUAUAGUUUUUCGCGAAAUCAAAAAUGUAAUUUUCAGGUCCUUUUUAUUGGCAUAAAAAACAAAUAUUGUACAAUUUGCCAACUCUCAAAAAAUCAAGGACACAAUCAAAUGCCUAAAAGGCAUAAAUGCUUUAAAAACUUUGAAGGUUCUUCAACGAGCAUGAUAGGCGAUAUUUUAAAAGAAGUAUUUCUCCAUAGUUUAGAGCAACAUGGAUUAAUCUACCAUAAAUUAAUAGCUGACGGAGACAGCAAUUCUCUGAAAAAAAAUUUAGAUGCUCAUCCAUAUAAAAAUGACAUUGUGAAAAAAAAUGAGUGCAGAAAUUACCUUCUACGAAAUUACUCCCGGAAAAUUCGAGAUUUAGGUAAAGACGUCAAUGCUGGGCCAUUAGUUCUUCGGAAGCAAAUAAGCAAAGAACAGCUAAGAUUACGAUAUGCAGUUACAAAAGUUAUCGAACAUAGAAAAAAUGAGGGUGUUCCGAUGUAAGAAAAAAUAAAGUUGUUAAAACAAGACAUAGACAAUUCUAUUAGCCGCGUUUUUGGAGAACACAAACUUUGUGCAGAAUUGGGAUAUUUCUGUCAUGAGCAAUAUAAACCCAGUGGUAGCAUAUUAUCAGACUUAAAAAUUACAGGCCGAUACGACAAAUUAUAUAGCUUUGUCAGCUAUCUUUCAAGAAAUAGCGUGAGUUUAAUACAAGAUGUUGAGAAUAAUGUAUCGGAGCAAUUUAACUCAAUCAUUGCAAAAUUUAUUGGCGGAAAACGCAUUAAUUAUUGCCAACGAGGAUCAUAUCAGGCUCGCUGUUUAGCUUCUGUAAUUUCUCAUAAUACUAAAAAGCCUAUAUACACGAUUAAAAAAUUCCUUAAUCAUAAAAGCCCGAUUGGCUUAGUUAAAUACAGGGAAUUAAAGAAAAAAUAUAUUAAACGGAAAAGAUUAUU